CACGUAGGGGGCAAGCGUUGUCCGGAUUUAUUGGGCGUAAAGAGCUCGUAGGUGGCUUAGUAAGUCGGGUGUGAAACCUCCAGGCUCAACCUGGAGACGCCACUCGAUACUGCUGUGGCUAGAGUCCGGUAGGGGAGCGUGGAAUUCCUGGUGUAGCGGUGAAAUGCGCAGAUAUCAGGAGGAACACCAGCGGCGAAGGCGGCGCUCUGGGCCGGAACUGACGCUGAGGAGCGAAAGCGUGGGUAGCAAACAGG
rnacentral:rRNA from 1 species